rnacentral:rRNA from 1 species
GACGAACGCUGGCGGCGUGCUUAACACAUGCAAGUCGAACGGAGUGGCGAACGGGUGAGUAACACGUGGGUGAUCUGCCUUGCACUUUGGGAUAAGCUUGGGAAACUGGGUCUAAUACCGGAUAGUGCAAGAUGAGCUCGAGGCCUAUGCGCUUGUUGGGGGGGUAAUGGCCUACCAAGGCGUCGGCGGGUAGCCGGCCUGAGAGGGUGUACGGGCACAUUGGGACUGAGGUACGGCACAGAGGCCUACGGGGGGUAGUGGUGGUGAAUAUUGCCCAAUGGGCGGAAGCCUGAUGCAGCGACGCCGGGUGGGGGAUGAAGGCCUUCGGGUUGUGAACUCCUUUCGACAGGGACGCGGUACCUGGAUAAGAAGCACCGGCUAACUACGUGCCAGCAGCCGCGGUAAUAC